CAAUAGCGUAUAUUAAAGUUGUUGCGGUUAAAAAGCUCGUAGUUGGAUUUCUGUUGAGAACAGCCGGUCCGCAUUUUGUGCGUGCAUCUGGUUUGAACUCGGCAUCCUUUCCAGGAACGUAUCUGCGAUUCAGUUCGUGGUGCGGUACUGGAAACUUUUACUUUGAGGAAAUUAGAGUGUUCACGGCAGGCAAUCGCCCUGAAUAUAUUAGCAUGGAAUAAUAGAAUAGGACUUUGGUUCUAUUUUGUUGGUUUCUAGGACCGAAGUAAUGAUUAAUAGGGACAGUUGGGGGCAUUUUUUAUUCCAUUGUCAGAGGUGAAAUUCUUGGAUUAACGGAAGAAAAACUACUGCGAAAGCAUCUGCCAAGGAUGUUUUCAUUGAUCAAGAACGAAAGUUAGGGGAUCGAAGAUGAUCAGAUACCAU
rnacentral:rRNA from 1 species